rnacentral:rRNA from 1 species
AGAGUUUGAUCAUGGCUCAGAUUGAACGCUGGCGGCAGGCCUAACACAUGCAAGUCGAGCGGCAGCACGGGUACUUGUACCUGGUGGCGAGCGGCGGACGGGUGAGUAAUGCCUAGGAAUCUGCCUAGUAGUGGGGGAUAACGUUCGGAAACGGACGCUAAUACCGCAUACGUCCUACGGGAGAAAGUGGGGGAUCUUCGGACCUCACGCUAUUAGAUGAGCCUAGGUCGGAUUAGCUAGUUGGUAGGGUAAAGGCCUACCAAGGCGACGAUCCGUAACUGGUCUGAGAGGAUGAUCAGUCACACUGGAACUGAGACACGGUCCAGACUCCUACGGGAGGCAGCAGUGGGGAAUAUUGGACAAUGGGCGAAAGCCUGAUCCAGCCAUGCCGCGUGCGUGAAGAAGGUCUUCBGAUUGUAAAGCACUUUAAGUUGGGGAGGAAGGGCAGUAAAAUUAAUACUUUGCUGUUUUGACGUUACCGACAGAAUAAGCACCGGCUAACUCUGUGCCAGCAGCCGCGGUAAUACAGAGGGUGCAAGCGUUAAUCGGAAUUACUGGGCGUAAAGCGCGCGUAGGUGGUUCGGUAAGUUGAAUGUGAAAUCCCCGGGCUCAACCUGGGAAUUGCAUCCAAAACUGCCGAGCUAGAGUAUGGUAGAGGGUGGUGGAAUUUCCUGUGUAGCGGUGAAAUGCGUAGAUAUAGGAAGGAACACCAGUGGCGAAGGCGACCACCUGGACUGAUACUGACACUGAGGUGCGAA